rnacentral:rRNA from 1 species
GACGAACGCUGGCGGCGUGCUUAACACAUGCAAGUCGAACGGUGAAGGGACCAGCUUGCUGGUUCUGGAUGAGUGGCGAACGGGUGAGUAACACGUGAGUAACCUGCCCCCUUCUUCUGGAUAACCGCAUGAAAGUGUGGCUAAUACGGGAUAUUCUGGGUCUGUCGCAUGGCGGGCCCGGGAAAGAUAUUGCUUCGGUGGGGGAUGGGCUCGCGGCCUAUCAGCUUGUUGGUGGGGUGAUGGCCUACCAAGGCGGGGACGGGUAGCCGGCCUGAGAGGGUGGACGGUCACACUGGGACUGAGACACGGCCCAGACUCCUACGGGAGGCAGCAGUGGGGAAUAUUGCACAAUGGGCGCAAGCCUGAUGCAGCGACGCCGCGUGAGGGAUGGAGGCCUUCGGGUUGUAAACCUCUUUCGCCAGUGAAGCAGGCCUGCUCCUUGUGGGUGGGUUGACGGUAGCUGGAGAAGAAGCGCCGGCUAACUACGUG